CCGACUCCUUUUCUUCGGCGCUACACCAUCGAUCGUUAAUUUACUCUGCAGUAUGGGGUAGUUUGUAUACAAUAUUGACAAGCUUGUUGAAUGUGGCUUUCAACGACACACUCGUUAAAUUGCGACACGAUAGUUGUGGCGGUAAUGCCGGAGGAGAGUCCCCACUUCUGGUUACCAAAUACUCGUCCCCGCCGCUGUCUGGAAGUGAUCUGAAGUCCAAUCAUCAGGUUACAGCUAAUUUCUCCGUAGUCUCUGCAGUCCCUGUUUUUGCAGCGAGGGGACGAGGCUGCAACCGAUUGUCCCGGACGCCACAACAAAGGCGAAAAACAAGGAAGGG